AACGAACGCUGGCGGCGUGCUUAACACAUGCAAGUCGUACGAGAAAACUCCUUCGGGAGUGAGUACAGUGGCGCACGGGUUAGUAUCACGUGGAUAAUCUACCCUCGGGUGAGGGAUAACUUGUCGAAAGACGGGCUAAUACCUCGUAAGACCACAGGAUCUUUGGAUCCAGCGGUAAAAGAUGGCUUUGCUAUCACCUGAGGAUGAGUCUGCGCACCAUUAGCUUGUUGGUAGGGUAAUGGCCUACCAAGGCCGAGAUGGUUAGCUGGUCUGAGAGGACGACCAGCAACACUGGAACUGAGACACGGUCCAGACUCCUACGGGAGGCAGCAGUGGGGAAUAUUGGACAAUGGGCGAAAGCCUGAUCCAGCGACGCCGCGUGGGUGAUGAAGGCCUUCGGGUCGUAA
rnacentral:rRNA from 1 species